rnacentral:rRNA from 1 species
UGAGUCGGGCAUCUUAGAGUAAGGAUGAUUAGUGAUACGCCUGUUGGGUAGGGGAGCGUUGUGUAAGCGGAAGAAGGUUCAUCGAGAGGUGGGCUGGACGUAUCACAAGUGCGAAUGCUGACAUAAGUAACGAUAAAACGGGUGAAAAACCCGUUCGCCGGAAGACC